UACGGAGGGUGCAAGCGUUGUCCGGAUUUAUUGGGUUUAAAGGGUGCGUAGGCGGCCCGUUAAGUCAGUGGUGAAAGCCUCCAGCUCAACUGGAGAACUGCCAUUGAUACUGGCGGGCUUGAGUACAGACGAGGUAGGCGGAAUUGAUUGUGUAGCGGUGAAAUGCAUAGAUACAAUCAAGAAUACCGAUUGCGUAGGCAGCUUACUAGGCUGUAACUGACGCUGAGGCACGAAAGCGUGGGGAGCGAACAGG
rnacentral:rRNA from 1 species